UUAAUGAUGAAAAGUGGUACCAGAAAGCAAAUUAUGUAGAAAACCUCUAUUACCACUUCUGCUGCCUUCCUUCUGAUAAU